rnacentral:rRNA from 1 species
UGCGGAAUUUUAGAUAAUGGAGGGAACUCUGAUCUAGCGACGCCGCGUGCAGGAAUAAGGUCUUCGGAUUGUAAACUGCUGUGGUAAGGGAAAAAUGCUAUGUAGAGUGGAAAGCUACAUAGAGGGAUGGUACCUUACUAGAAAGCCCCGGCUAACUACGUGCCAGCAGCCGCGGUAAUACGUAGGGGGCGAGCGUUACCCGGAAUCACUGGGCGUAAAGGGAGCGUAGGUGGCCUAACAUGUCAACUGUGAAAACCCGGAGCUCAACUCCGGACUUGCAGUUGAAACCGGUAGGCUUGAGGACGGUAGAGGAAGACGGAACUGCCAGUGUAGGGGUAAAAUCCUUAGAUAUUGGCAGGAACGCCGGUGACGAGGGUGGUUUUCUGGGCCGGUUCUGACACUGAUGCUCGAAAGCCAGGGGAGCGAACGG